CCCUACGGGGCGCAGCAGGCGCGAAACCUUUACAAUGCGGGCAACCGUGAUAAGGGAACCUCGAGUGCCUGUAAACGCAGGCUGUUCAGGUGUUUAAAACGCACCUGGAGAAAGGGCCGGGCAAGACCGGUGCCAGCCGCCGCGGUAAUACCGGCGGCUCGAGUGGUGGCCGCUUUUAUUACCGCGGC
rnacentral:rRNA from 1 species